rnacentral:misc_RNA from 1 species
CGCGCCCCAGCGCGACAAGCUUUUGCUGUCCGCCGCUGAGCAGCAGCGCCUUGCGGUCGCGCAUGGUGACGAGUUCGCCGAUCACCUCGUAGACGAAAUCGAGCCGCGCCUUGCGGUCGACAUCCUUCGCGACCCACAGCGGCAGAAGAAUAUUCUCUUCGACCGUCAGUUGCGGCACCAGACCGCGGUCUUCCGGCAUGUAGCCGAUGCCGAGACCGGCACGGGCAUGACGUGGCAGGGCCGCCAGA